UCCGUAGGCGGGCAAUUAAGUCAGAGGUGAAAUCCCACAGCUCAACUGUGGAACUGCCUUUGAUACUGGUUGUCUUGAGUUACAGUGAAGUAGAUAGAAUAUGUAGUGUAGCGGUGAAAUGCAUAGUUAUUACAUAGAAUACCGAUUGCGAAGGCAGUCUACUAACUGUAUACUGACGCUAAUGGACGAAAGCGUGGGGAGCGAACAGGAUUAGAUACCCUGGUAGUCC
rnacentral:rRNA from 1 species